CUGCCUCUCCCCAUCUUCCUCCUUGGAGCCUCUGGGGACAACGUUUGCAGAAUAACAAUAGAUCUCAGCUGUGCUGUGAGACGGGCUUACUUGCAAGACACACCUUCCAACCAAGACCUGCCCCCGAGCUCUGGAGGUGACAUUUAUCAAGCACCACUCUGCACAAACCAAAGUGCAGAAGCAAGGGAGGCCAUGAAGAGAAGGUAAGAUUCUUACCUUUGCGGAGCACACGGCCCAUUUAUGCAGGAACUAGCGAUGGUUGCUGCAGUCCCUGGAGAUGAAGUGACCCAUGGGAAAGGCAGCCUGAGCCCCACAUUCUGCAAACACCAGUGCUGAAGGCACACCGGUUGCAUAUGCUCUUCCUCUCCGACUGACCAGCACCUGGAUCUCUUUGCCCACUGAAGAGCUGGCAGUGCCUGGGAACUUCUGCAUUCCUGGGGCAAGCCCUUGAGCCAUCACUCAGGGAUGCAGCUAAACAAUUACUCCAGCUCCUUGCCCCAGCUAGGACUGCCUCCCAGGGACCCAGGCAAGCCACAGUGGACGUGACAAUCCCUGUCUUGCCAUGUGUC